GAUCUUCAUAAUAGGUUGGUGGCCUUUUAUGGGAAAAAAAAGCUAAAUUAAGGAAGUCUUUCGGUGAAAAUGUUGUCGGAUACUUUGCAUAUUCGGAAAAAGGAUUCAAGCAGCAUCUCUGUGUAUGAUUGAAUAGAAAAUGGAGUUUAGAAUCAGAAGCAUUGGAAUGAAAUAUAUUGUACCGAUGAAAACCAUCAUUGGAAUUAUAGUGAUCGAGAAUAGUUGCAAGAAUGGAAUUGAGUGUGUUCAAGAGUCAAUCUUUUUUUUAGGUUUCAUAUUGCAUUUGAAAUAUUAUGAAAUAAACUUCUAAUUUUUUUA